rnacentral:rRNA from 1 species
UAACGAAUCUUCCGCAAUGCACGCAAGUGUGACGGAGCGACGCCGCGUGUGGGACGAAUUCCUUCGGGAUGUAAACCACUGUCAGGGGCAAGUAAGUUCUGAACUGCCCCAGAGGAAGAGACGGCUAACUCUGUGCCAGCAGCCGCGGUAAUACAGAGGUCUCGAGCGUUAGGCGGAAUCACUGGGCUUAAAGCGUGUGUAGGCGGAUGUCUAAGUACCUUGUGAAAUCCCACGGCUUAACCGUGGAACUGCUUGGUAUACUGGAUGUCUUGAGCCAUCUAGGGGCAACUGGAACGAAUGGUGGAGCGGUGAAAUGCGUAGAUAUCAUUCGGAACGCCGGUGGUGAAAACGGGUUGCUGGGGAUGUGCUGACGCUGAGACACGAAAGCCAGGGGAGCGAA